rnacentral:misc_RNA from 1 species
UCUCUCUCUCUCUCUCUAUCUGUGUUGAGAGAAGAACUCCAGCAAAAUUUAAAACAGCUUCCCUCCACCCGCAAAGGAAGGCAGAGCAGCGUAAAUGGAUAAACCCCAGAACUUCUAUUGCAUCCAGGUGCAAUGCUGCAUUACUGUGCAAACAAACCAUCAUGGAUCCUUUGCUGAAGUCACAAACUUAUUGUAGGAUUCACACACAAAAUUGUUAUAAAUAGUUAUAUUUCCACAAAUAAUAGGAAGCAAAAAUAAAAUAUAUGAUCAACUAUCCAUGAACAAGUUCAACAUAUUUAAAGUAAUGAAUCUAACCACAACUGCAAGCGAACAGUUCGAUCUUCAAGGUACAUGGUUUUUGAUAGAAAAUCAAUGCCAAUUGUAGCCUGACAUCAAUUGAAAAUAGAAAUAAGUCAGAUAACAGCAGAAAAUAGAUAUCUUAGCAAUCACCAAAAGAUUUAUAUCUCUUUGAAAACUAAAAAUGAUAUCUAGCCAUGUCAAAAAAAUAAAUAUAUGAAUUCAAGGAGAAGUGGUAAAGGAAAAGGAGCAAGAAGAAUGAGAAAGAGCAUUCGUCAACAAGGAAAGAGAGCAUAUGUCAACCAGGAAUGACUUUUUGCUUUAUUUUCUUUCU